AACAUAAAGAACAACGACAACUAGAAUUGGGGAUUCAAACUGAAAUCUCCUACGUCUCACUAGAGAAUCCCUUCCAAAACAUUCCACUGACACUUGUUGAAAUUUCUAUGUUUCUCUCUACUAGCUAGGAUCGCUCAAAUUACUUCACUGACUCUCUCUUUCUCUCAUAACACACACUCGUUCAAAAGCAAGCAAACUUCGAACGACUAAUUAAUUAAUGACUCACGAGUGCUUCUCACGUGGUGUCG